rnacentral:rRNA from 1 species
GGAAUCUUCCACAAUGGGCGCAAGCCUGAUGGAGCAACACCGCGUGAGUGAAGAAGGGUUUCGGCUCGUAAAGCUCUGUUGUUAAAGAAGAACGUGGGUAAGAGUAACUGUUUACCCAGUGACGGUAUUUAACCAGAAAGCCACGGCUAACUACGUGCCAU